CCAACCAUUUUUGUCCCGCCUGGGAUUCGAACCUUGAAUUCUCGAUUGUGAGUCGAGAACGAAAUUUAUCUUCCAAUUUUUGUGGUUUUUAUCGCCCAGAUAUUGUUGUUAUUGUUAUCACCAGCUGACAUGGUUCCCAUGACGACGGUUCGGGUACGAAAGGUUAGGUAUAUGAAGACUCAACAACGCCAGAGUGCCUCAGAGUGUCUCAGUGCCUCGAGUGCCACAGAGUGACUCAGUGCCUGGAGUGCCUCAGUACCUCGAGUGCCUCAGUGCCUGGAGUGCCUCAGUACCUCGAGUGCCUCAGUGUCUCAGUACCUCGAGUGCCUCAGCAUCUCAGUACCUCGAGUGCCUCAGAGUGUCUCAGUGCCUGGAGUGCCUCGCUGGGUGCCACUCGUCAUCUCCACCUCCUCCGUCGUUUGAGGCACAAUAUUAGGAAUGAUGAAGGUGCUGGAGCUUGUCCUCGUGAUCCCAGCUCUGAUAACAUGUGCCUUGGGAGCUGCUCCAUUUGUCAUUAAUAUUGACAAUGUUACAACCGAAGACUUUCAGCCUCAGCAGAUUCACAUUGUCAUAGGAG